rnacentral:rRNA from 1 species
CAAGAGUUUGAUCCUGGCUCAGGAUGAACGCUGGCGGCGUGCUUAACACAUGCAAGUCGAACGGACAAAGAAGAUUUCGGUUUUCUUUGUUAGUGGCGGACGGGUGAGUAACGCGUGGGCAACCCACCUUAUACAGGGGGAUAACAGUUAGAAAUGACUGAUAAUACCGCAUAAGCGCCCGAGAUCGCAUGAUCUUGAGUGAAAAACUCUGGUGGUAUAAGAUGGGCCCGCGUCUGAUUAGCUAGUUGGUAAGGUAACGGCUUACCAAGGCGACGAUCAGUAGCCGACCUGAGCGGGUGGUCGGCCACAUUGGGACUGAGACACGGCCCAAACUCCUACGGGAGGCAGCAGUGGGGAAUAUCGCACAAUGGGGGAAACCCUGAUGCAGCGACGCCGCGUGACUGAAGAAGUAUUUCGGUAUGUAAAGGUCUAUCAGCAAGGAAGAAGAGAGACGGUACUUGACUAAGAAGCCCCGGCUAACUACGUGCCAGCAGCCGCGGUAAGAUUCCGG